UUACCUAGGGCGGAAUGCCACUGGAUUCUGGAUUGUGCUUGUCUGGAACAUCGGAAAUGGCCUUAGCUGGUUUUUUUGAAAACUAUAUGCUUGAAGAAAAUGAACUUCCAUUAAAAGUUGCAGCCGUAAGCCGUUGCUUUAGAGCAGAAACAUCUGGAUUAACAGAAGAAAAAGGUAUAUACAGAUAACACCAAAUAAAAAUGCUUGGGUGCAGUCUGGUUUAGCGGACUCAAUCAUUUGGUUUUGUUUGGUGCCCAGAUGCACACAAGAAGAAAAGCAACAAAAACAUUCCUAACAUAAGAAAACAUCUUUGGAUUUGCUUGCUUUGCUAUGCUCUUAAACAAGUUUGUUUGCUUGUUACAACCAAGAACAGAAAACGAAAGAAAUCGAAUUUAUUACCUCUCCAGUAUGUGCACGGCCUCCUAAUUAUUCGAAGAGCUUAUGUAAUUGUCAUGUCAAAAUUCUUAGAAUAAUAAAUUACGAAGCCUACAGUGAUUUUAAA